AAUGGAUCAAUGAUUUUUGUUAGAAAACUGCGUUAUCUUAAUGUAAUUUCCUUGAUGGAAUUGAAGAUAAUCAUAACAUACUGAGAUCCAUU